AGUCUCAUCAUUCACUACUGAAAAAAAUAAACACAAUAUUUACGGCUAAGAGAGAGGAGAGAAAGAGAGAGAGAAAGGAAAGAGAGAGAGAGAGAGAGAGAGAGUAGUAUUGGAAAUAAAGUUUGCAUAUAUCAAAUAUUUUAAUCACGUAUUUUUCAAAGCAGAGAAAAGAUUUUGAACGAGCAUUCAGACUUUUCAAAUGAGAUAAGAUACAUAUGUACAAGUUGUUUUUAUUUUUAUAUGCUUUUAUAUGCAAUUAAAUAUGUAUGGAUUGCUAGUGGACCUUCGAGUUCUAGAAAAAGAGAUAUAAAAUUCCCACUGGAAUUUAAGAGGACCAAAGAUGAGUGUGUCACUUGGUUACCGAUAUACUUCAUAAGAGCAGAGUGGUAUGAAAUGUAGAUUUUAUUGUUAUAUAUCUGUAUAUGAAAACUGCACGUAUCUUACUGGGUAUUUUUAAAUACUCAUCCUUACUUUAAUUUUUCAGAUUUGUGCGGGUCGAUUGGAACAUGUGGAAUGGUGAUGCGGACGGCCAAGAAGAAAAUUAUUCAUUAAGUUUUCUGUCUUUUAAUUUAAUUAGUUUGAUUUGUUUUGGAAGAAUAUAAAUGUUAUUGAAUUAGUUAGUUGAGUAUGUUUAUUUUAAAGAUACGAUUAUCAUGUUUUAAGUUAAAUUUGUGAAGGGUUCAGUUAUCUGUUUAUUAAAGAAUUUUAUUUUUAUAGUUCCACACUUAAAAUAAAGAAAAGUGAGUCUUUCGUAACGUUCCGACGUUUAUAAAAUUUGGGGUGUUACAACAAAUAUCAAUAUUAAAUCUUAAAG
rnacentral:lncRNA from 1 species